GAUCCGAACACCAACAUCAUGAUAAAGAACAACUACAAGCUUAUCCUCGAUGCUAUGGAGGAAGGCAACGUUGAGCUGAUGUCUGCCCUCACUGAGGCCACCAAGUGUGUGGAGGAGUUUAGGUCUGCAGAGUGACUCCAGUCCUCAGGCGGGCCAAGGCUUCAGAGGAUACCAGGCUGAGGAUCAAUGGGGAUUCAGUUCUUACUUCCGGACUUUAUAUUUUCUAAGGCUUAUGGAUUUACGCCUUUAUAUUUCCUAAGGCUUACGGUUAUACUAUAGUGUUACGUAGUGUUGUCGGAGCAUUUAUUGGUGCAGCAGUUACUUGCAUCCUGAGUGUUGCAGGGUGUGGCUGUUACUCUGCACUCGUGUACCCAGGCAGGUUUUUACACACCUUUUCAGGCACUUGUGUACCCAGGCAGGUUUUUACACACCUUUUCAGGCACUUGUGUACCCAGGCAGGUUUUUACACACCUUUUCAGGCACUUGUGUACCCAGGCAGGUUUUUACACACCUUUUCAGGCACUUGUGUACCCAGGCAGGUUUUUACACACCUUUUCAGGCACUUGUGUACCCAGGCAGGUUUUUACACACCUUUUCAGGCACUUGUGUACCCAGGCAGGUUUUUACACACCUUUUCAGGCACUUGUGUACCCAGGCAGGUUUUUACACACCUUUUCAGGCACUUUUGUACCCAGGCAGGUAGUAACACACA